rnacentral:rRNA from 1 species
UUUUGGACAAUGGGCGCAAGCCUGAUCCAGCAAUGCCGCGUGAGUGAAGAAGGCCUUCGGGUUGUAAAGCUCUUUUGUCAGGGAAGAAACGGUGAGCUCUAAUACAGUUUGCUAAUGACGGUACCUGAAGAAUAAGCACCGGCUAACUACGUGCCAGCAGCCGCGGUAAUACGUAGGGUGCAAGCGUUAAUCGGAAUUACUGGGCGUAAAGCGUGCGCAGGCGGUUAUGUAAGUCAGAUGUGAAAUCCCCGGGCUCAACCUGGGAAUGGCAUUUGAGACUGCAUGGCUAGAGUGUGUCAGAGGGGGGUAGAAUUCCACGUGUAGCAGUGAAAUGCGUAGAGAUGGGAGGAAUACCGAUGGCGAAGGCAGCUCCCUGCCUAAUACUGACACUGAGCACAAA